rnacentral:rRNA from 1 species
AUGGUGCAGUAUAAUUUCAAGAAGAUCACUGUUGUCCCUCCUGGGAAGGACUUCAUCGACAUAAUCUUGUCCCGCACUCAGAGGCAAACACCAACUGUUGUCCACAAGGGCUAUGCUAUCAACCGCAUUCGCCAGUUCUAUAUGCGCAAGGUUCGCUAUACCCAGCAGAACUUCUAUGAAAAGCUGUCCACCAUCAUCGAUGAGUUCCCCAGACUGGAUGACAUCCACCCUUUCUAUGGCGAUCUCCUUCAUGUGCUCUACAACAAGGAUCAUUACAAACUCGCCUUGGGUCAGAUCAAUACAGCUAGAAAUAUCAUUGCAAAGAUCUCCAAGGACUAUCUGAGGCUGCUCAAGUAUGGAGACACCCUGUACCGGUGCAAGUGCCUGAAGGUAGCUGCUCUCGGUCGCAUGUGUACUGUUCUAAAGCGUAUCAGUCCUAGUUUGGCAUACCUGGAGCAGAUCAGGCAGCACAUGGCCAGGCUUCCAUCAAUUGACCCAAACACCCGUACUAUCUUGAUUUGUGGGUAUCCAAAUGUUGGGAAGAGCUCUUUCAUGAACAAGGUUACAAGGGCUGAUGUGGACGUACAGCCUUAUGCUUUCACAACAAAAUCCCUUUUUGUUGGCCAUGCAGAUUACAAGUAUCUGCGGUACCAAGUGAUUGACACUCCUGGGAUCCUUGAUCGGCCUUUUGAGGACAGGAACAUCAUAGAAAUGUGCAGUAUCACCGCUCUCGCCCACUUGAGGGCUGCUGUGCUGUUCUUCUUGGACAUCUCUGGUUCUUGUGGGUACACUAUUGCUCAGCAAGCUGCACUCUUCCACAGUAUAAAAUCCUUGUUCAUGAAUAAGCCUCUGGUCAUUGUGUGCAACAAGACUGAUUUGCAGCCGCUUGAUGGGCUUUCUGAAGAUGACAUGAAGCUAGUAAUGGAGAUGAAGUCAGAGGCUAUGAAGACUAUACCUCAAGGUGGAGAUCCUAGUGAAGAGGGUGUUUUGUUGACUAUGAGUGCUUUAACAGAUGAGGGUGUGAUGGCUGUUAAAAAUGCUGCAUGUGAGAGGCUUCUUGAGCAGAGGGUGGAGAUCAAGAUGAAAUCAAAGAAGAUCAAUGACUGCUUAAACAGGUUUCAUGUUGCUAUGCCCAAGCCUCGUGACAACAGAGAUAGGCCUACUUGCAUUCCUCAGGCUGUUCUUGAAGCUCAAGCGAUUGCUGCUGCAAAGGAAAAGAAGAAACUUGAGAGGGACCUUGAGAAUGAGAAUGGAGGUGCUGGUGUCUAUUCCGCCAGUCUCAAAAAGCAUUACUUGUUGGCUGAUGAUGAAUGGAAGGAAGAUAUUCUCCCUGAGAUAUUGGAUGGGCAUAAUGUUGCUGAUUUCCUGGAUCCGGAUAUCUUGGAAAGGUGUGAGGAGCUGGAAAGGGAGGAGGGUCUUCGUCUUGAAGAAGAAGCUGCUCAGGAUGCUUUCAUGAUUGAUGGCCAUGAUGAGUUAACUGAAGAACAGCGUGAGAUAUUGGGUAAGAUUAGGAAGAAGAAGGCAAUGCUCAUCCAAGAGCAUAGGAUGAAAAAGAGUACUGCAGAGAGCCGUCCUAUUGUUCCAAGGAAGCAUGACAAGGAUAGGAAAUUCACAACCAAGAGACUGGGCAGGCAACUCACAUCCAUGGGUGUUGAUCCUACUGCCGCUGUGAACCGACUUCGCAGCCAGUCAAGAGGCCGUAAGCGUGAGAGGUCACUGAGCAGAGCUGAUGGUGACGACGCUAUGGACGUUGAUGGCCAGCACUCCGACAAGAAGCUGCGUACGAGGUCGAGGUCUAGGUCCAAAUCACGACCAAUUGAAGAGGUUGUACCAGGUGACGGGAUCCGGGACGUUGCUCAAAAGAAGAAGGCCAUCAAGAAAUAA